rnacentral:rRNA from 1 species
AUGUAAUGUAAUUCCUACAAUUUUAAUGCACCAACUUGCAUUAUAACUCUAAAGUUAAGUGCUCUUGGGCUAGAGUAGUACUGGGAUGGGUGAACUCCAGGGAAUUCCUAGUGUUUUAUAUG